UACAGAGGUGGCAAGCGUUGUUCGGAAUUACUGGGCGUAAAGGGCGCGUAGGCGGCCAUCUAAGUCAGACGUGAAAUCCCCCGGUUUAACCUGGGAACUGCGUCUGAUACUGGACGGCUGGAGUUUGGGAGAGGGAUGUGGAAUUCCAGGUGUAGCGGUGAAAUGCGUAGAGAUGUGGAGGAACACCAGUGGCGAAGGCGACUCUUUGGCCUGUAACUGACGCUGAGGCGCGAAAGCGUGGGGAGCAAACAGG
rnacentral:rRNA from 1 species